UACGGAGGGUGCAAGCGUUACCCGGAAUCACUGGGCGUAAAGGGCGUGUAGGCGGACCACUAAGUCUGGCUUUGAAGACCGGAGCUCAACUCCGGGCAUGGGCUGGGUACUGGUGGUCUGGACCUCUGGAGAGAGAACUGGAAUUCCUGGUGUAGCGGUGGAAUGCGUAGAUACCAGGAGGAACACCGAUGGCGAAGGCAGGUUCUUGGACAGAAGGUGACGCUGAGGCGCGAAAGUGUGGGGAGCGAACCGG
rnacentral:rRNA from 1 species